ensembl:lncRNA
AUGAGUGAAGAAAGAAUUAAUGAGGUUCUCCUGCAGCAUCUCAAUUCACAGUUGAAGCAGAGGCAUAGGUCUGCUGUCAUUGAUGGAAAUCCACCUCUACAGUGCACUGACAUUAUGCAAAAGCAUCUGCUACUACAGAGGGACUGCAAACCAACUGGUACGCAGGGCUCUGGAUUGGUACAGGGUAGAGGUCUUCUUUUGCUAGGGAGAGGCAGAAAAGUCAUUCUCACCAAAUACCCCAUUGUCUUAGUCCAUUUACACUGCUAUGAGAAAACACCACAGACUGGGUAGCUUUUAAAACACAGAAAUUGAUUUAUCAUUGUUUUGGAGGCUGGGAAGUCUAAGACCAAGGCACCAGCAUAUUUAGUGUCUGGUGAGAGCCUGCUUCCUGGGAUCAUCUUUUCACUGUGUCUUUGGUGAAAGGGGUGAAUGAGCUUGCCGUAGUCUCUUUUUUAAAAGGGCACUAAUCCUACCGUGAGGGCUCUACACUCAAGACCCAGUCACCUUCCAAAGGCCCUACCUCCAAAUAUCAUCACAUGGGUCGUUGGGAUUUAACAUAUGAAUUCUGGGGGGAACACAAAUAUUCAAGCUAAAGCACCCACCAAUAUAGGACAGAGUUUGGCUGGCAUGGAAUGAGGGUGGGGUGCUCACUCUUUAGACUCUGUAUUUGAGGAGAAAGCAAAGCUUGUUUGACAGUGGGAAUGGAACAAAAAUGAUGAGAAAUCUCAUCCUUUGAUGCUCAGGUGCUCAUGACUUGCUGAAGACUGAUACUGGAACAGAAGAGCUGAGAAACACACCUGCCCCCUACCUCAAGCCCUGCACCAAGUAAAAGUCAGCAGAAAUAUACCCUGGGGAAAGGGCUAGAGUGUGACUGGAGAUCUUGCUGAAAGCUGGAGGUGGAGGAGGAAUACAAAGAAAAGAUUUUAGUACUCCAGGCUUCACAGUAAGUAAAAGUAGCAGUCAUCUACUACUAGAGAAUUUUGAAGUCUCUGGUAGACUGAAAGUAACUAGAGCAACAUAUAACCAAACACAAGACAGCUACUGGAAUGAUUGGACCGAGUGACCUGACAGAAGAAGAAGCAUGCCCAUUUCCAGAAAUAAAUCCUUUUUAUAUCAGUCUCUCUAUACACCAUGUCUACCAUUCAACAAAACUUAUGAGAGACAAGGAAAAAACAACCCUCAUUGUCCAGAGGCAAAAGUAAUCAACAGAAACAGAUUGAGAAAUGAUCUGGUGGCUGGAAUUAUUACACAGUAAUUUAAAACUAACUAUAAUAUGUUUAAUGACAUAGUAGAUGAGAUAAAUGGGAUGCAUGAACAGAUAAGGAAUUUCAGAGAGAUUACAACUUUAUGAAGGAGUCAAAUGGAAAUGCUAGAAAUGAAAAAUGCCAUAUCAGAAAUAAAUAAUUUUAUCAAUUAGCCUAUAAGCAGACUGGAUACAGAAAAAAAAAAAAUCAAUGAUCUUGGAGACAGGUAAAUAGGAAUUAUGACAAUGGUAAUGCAAAGAAAAAAUGAUGGUAAACAGUAAAGCUUCCAACAGAUUUGAGCUAUUUAAUAUUUAUAAAACAUUCUCCUCAACAAUAGCUGAAUACAAAUUUACAUUAAAUGCAACAGAAUAUUUACCAAGUUGUAUCAUUUUCAGGAUGAUAAAAGAAAAUUCAAUAAAUGUUAAAAGAUUAAAAUCAUAUAUGAUUUAUGAUUUCAGCAAAAUAAAACUAAAAUCCAAAAGCAGCAUGAUGGGGGUUUUCCCCCAGCUUUAUUGAAGUAAAAUUAACAAAUAAAAACGUGUAUGUUCAAGGUGUACAACUUCAUAUUUUGAGAUAUAUGUGUGUGUGUAUAUAUAUAUACACACACACACACACACAUUAUGUAAUAAUUACCACAAGCUAAUUAACCUAUUCAACACCAUGAGUGCAUGCGCACACACACACAUUCACAUCACAAGAGGAAAUAGAAAAUACUCUGAAUAACAAAACAAACAUUAGA